AAGGAGACACAGAAUCCAAAGCAGGCUCCCGGAUCUGAGCUGUCAGCACAGAGUCUGAUGUGGUGCUCGAACUUGGGAACCGCGAAGUCAUGACCUGAGCCCAACUCAUGAACUACGAGAUCAUGACCUGAACUGGAGUCAGACACUUAACCAACUAAGCCAUCCAGGUGCCCCUAGAAUGUAAAUUCUUAAACUACACCCCUGGAGACACUGAUUAGUAAGCCAAGGGUGGGGCCCAAGAAUCUGCGUUUUUAACAAACACUCAGGUGAUUUGGAGGCUGGACUGUGAGAAAUCCUGCUUUGGAACUUGUUCUGAGGAAGGUGUCAUCAUGGAAGUGGUCAGAGUCUCCUUCAGAGAAAGGGUUACUGGGGUCUGUAUUUAGCCUGCUCCUGAAAUAUUUUGGAUAAAACUAGGUAGAACCAAUUUGUAGGAUGUUCUUUCAGAUCAAAAUCCUAUUGGGUUAUUACUGUAUAGCAGUGGGUGUCUCUGGGGACAAUUUUGUCCCCAGGAGCUAUUUGGCAAUAUCUGGAGACAUUUUUGGUUGUCAUACGGUGGGUGGGGGUGGGGGAGAUGCUACUGCUAUCCCAUGAGUAGAGGUCAGGGAUGCUGGUAGACAUCCUACAGGACAGCCCCACAUGACAAAUAAUUCUCCAACUUAAAAUGUCCACAGUGGUGAGCCUGAGGAAUCCUACCUUCCAGGAUAAAAGGGAAAGCAUGAAUAGUAUUGGGAAAGCCAGCAGAAGUGUCAAAUUUUGGCACCAACAAGGACUUUGAGCAGACUUGGUCCAAUCCUCACAGUAUAGGAGCCCCAAAUGCUUGUUGAACUGUUCUGUGCCUUCAGUUUACAAGAACAGGUGGAGGUUGUUAAACCUAGAGGCUAUUAGAUCUUCUGUGAGCCCCUUGGUUGCUAAGCCCAGAUGGUAAUUAGAUUGUGUGUCAAUCAGAGAAAAUGCAAUUCUAUGAUCAAACCAGAUGCAUAGGUUGUACAGAGACUCAACAUACUGUUAGAUGCAUUAGGUACUAACAAAAUCAUCUCAACUCUUGAUUUAGGAGAAGGUUUGGGGCAAAUGUGGAGGAUCCAAAUUCACAACAGCAUUUGUGGCGCCAGAUGGGCAUAUGAGCUUGAUGCCUAACACUCUGGUCUAAGGGACCCACCAGCCUCUUUCCAGAGAUUGGAUAAUGGCUUCUUAAGUGAGCUGGACACAUUUUCGCAGCCCACACUGAUGACAUUUCUAUAUUAAGCCAGAGUGUGGAUGAGCAUCUGGAAAGUUUCAGACUGGUGCCAAAUUGAUCUGUAAAGCUGGGUUUGUGGGGAAACUGAGCAAAGGGCCAUUUGGACAUCUGAGAUCAAACAUUAGGGAAAUAGGCACAUGAGCCCACUGGAAGGAAACGAGGAAGCUCAUUGAUAUUGUCAAGCGUCUGCCACUAAAGAAUCAAAUCGCCUCUGACCAAGAGACAUUUGGGAGCUAUUUGUUUUAGGAGGUUGUUCUAGAAUAUCUGAGGGCUAACACGAAUUGGCAGGCAGAUGAAUAGUGCAAAAGAAAAACAUGCUAGGAACUCUUACUGCAAAUUAACUAGGAAGAGUUUUUGUGUAAUGAAGAUACAAAGCACUACGAGAAGUUAGUUUCUUUUGCUAUUAAUCAAGUUCCAGGGAGUUUUAGAUAAAUUUCCCCAGACCUUGAGGGUUACUUUCUCCUUUGUCUCUAAAACAACUCAGCGAAUCUUGUUUUUUCUACUUUAGCUGAGGGGGUAAGUGCCAUUCAUAAUUAGGUGGAAGGAGCCCAAGAUAUUGCAAUGGGUUUGAGUGUAUGAGUCAUUUACUGACCAAAAUUAUAGUCUAACAAAAAGCCAGCCAUACUUGGACCAUUGACCUGGAAUGAGAAAUGCAGAACUUCUUGAUAAAACCAAGAACUUAGGGGGUCCUAGGAAUCGCUCAGUAAUACAUAACUUAGUGGAGGGAUUGGGAAGGUGACCCUUGCUGAAAUAUCUAAGUUCCCCCCAACCCCCAUAAUUCACAGAGUGGGAAAAGGUUGCAAGAUUUGGAAAUGAGGUGUGGUUGCCAACAUUCUAGGCAUUUCAUCAAAUGUUUAAAAAUAGGUUAAAAGUGAAUACAAACUAGAGGCAAAACAGCCAGGCAGUCAGGUCCUCUGAAGGUCAGCAGGCACUUUGAAGCAUUUAUCCCUCAACCAUGAGGCUGUAACUGGCCAUAUUUUAACUUGUUUCAAAGAAGUAUCUAACAGAGUUUUCAGGACCCCAGAGAUUUAAGAUGCUAUGGAGGAAUGAAAACAAAUUCUUUAAUGGCUUUGAAAGACACCAAUGUGAAAACGCGGCAGCGUCUGCAGUGGAUGGACCUAUUAGGAGACUAAGGGUCUUGCAAUUUUACAGUUUCCAUGGGACAUGUUUAUUGAGUACUGCUCUGUGCCACGCUCAGUGCUGCAUGCUGGGGAUACCCAGGACAAUCAGAAGAGGAAGCUCACACAUUAUGGUGAGAGAGUAGCAGAUACGGAUAACUGUUAGAAGACAAAGGAGUGAGGGGCUGGCUCUCUUGGGGGCAGGUGGAGAAUCAGCACAGUGUUCUCACAGGUGAAAUUUAAUCUGAGUUUUGAAGUAGGGGUAUUGGAUUAAGAUGAAGGGAGAGGCAUGUGCCAGAUGGUGGGGCAAGUUCCUGAAGCCUUAGCAAGGCCGGGAAGGGGAAGUGGGAUUUCUCAGGAACUAUGAAAAGUGAUUGAGCCCAGCAGAGAGGAGGUGAGGCGUGUACCUUUGGGAGUCCCCUACAGCCUGGGGAGAACUGAAGGCCUGGGGUCCAGGGAUGGCAUCUCAGAAGGAGAGAGUAUGGGGAGGAAAGAAUUCCUGAAUCUUGAUCACUUAGGUUUAGAGGGUGGGGAGGGGAACAGGAACCCACCAGGAGGUAAUAAAAAAUGAAUCGGAAUGGGGAAGAGAACCAGGCGAGUUCACCGAGUUGACUGGGAGAGGACAGGGAGGAGGAAACCUGCAAAUUGGCUCCAGACAUCUGAGAGAGCAGAUAAGAAGUGAUGCAGCCCAAAGGGGUGAGGGCUGCAAGUGUAGAUUACUCUCUGGGUGUACAGAUAUCUGUUCAAGUCCUAAUGCUUUCUUUGAUGGGGGAAAACAAAGCAUUGCCAUGAAAGCUUUGUGCAUAACUUUCAGUCUUGUCUAGGCUGCAGAUGGAGAAUUUAGCAGUGUGGAGAUGAUCAGAUUAUUGCUUAAUCAACUCAUCAUUGGUUUACAUGUAAACCAAGUUGGCCGCUCUCCUUACUAAGACUAGGGCAAAGUGCUUUUUUAGAUGAGCUUUUAAGCCUCUCUGGGCUGCACGGAAAAAGCCUGUGGGCCUUCUGUGUUCCAGCCAAACUCAGCUUUUCUCAGUUCCAUAAAUGCCACUUCCCUCUGGCACAGGCAUUUGAACGUGUACUCCCCACUCUCUCUAUCACCUGGGACCCUCGCUCUGCCUCUUCGCUCCCAUUCUUUAGGUUUCCUUAGAGACUUCAGUUCCUUCAAGAGUCCUGUCUGUCCUUCUAGUCUGGGUUGGGGUCCACUGUCUGUGCUUCCCCAGCAUCCAGUAGUUAAGCCCUCUUGAAGGGAUUGUGGGAUCUUCUCUCCCACUGGUUGCAGACUCCAUCCAUCUGCUUCCUGGACCCUUUGGCCUGGCCCUGUGCUCAGCAUACAGAAAACCAAAAUGGAUGAAUGAGGACGGGCCAACUUUGGAUGGGUCAUCUGGGGAUGCUCUUCAUGAUGCUGUAGAAACCCACUGAGCAGGAGAGGGAAGAGCUUGCUGUUUGGGUCUGUAGGGCCUGUGUCUGCUCAUCAUUAGUGAGCUAGCCCAAUGUAAAUAUGUGUUCUAUAUUUGUACACUCGCCUUAAGGAGCAGUAGUUACUUUUGGUUGUUUUUAACGGUUGAGGAGUUUGAAUUAUGACAUCUUUUGAAAGAAGUUUGACUACAAAGAAAAAAUGACUGAGUUAUAUUGGAUUUAAUAGAGGAAUAACUCUUUAGGCUGACAUGAAAGCAGUUGAGAAAGCAGUUUAUUUAAGGAAAAGAAAUUUAAUGCCAGAUUAGAAACUCAAAUUAAAAAUUUAAAAUAUAGGGGCUCCUGGGUGGCUCAGCCGGUUAAGUGUUCAACUUCGGCUCUGGUCAUGAUCUCAUGGCCUGUGAGUUUGAACCCCGCAUCGGGCUCUGUGCUGACAACUCAAUGCCUGGAGCCUGCUUCCGAUUCCAUGUCUCCCUCUCUCUCUGCCUCUCCCCUGCUUGUACUGUCUCUCUCUCUCUCUCUCUCUCUCUCUCUCACACACAAAUAAAUAAAACAUUAAAAAAAAACCUAGAAAAACCAAAAACCAAAACAAAAUUUAAAAUAUAAACAAAAUUUAAAAUAUAAGACAGCAUUUGGGUAUUCACUGUAGAAUUAUCUAUAAUAUCAAAAAUGGAGGGCAACGUACAUGUUCAACAGGAGGGGAGUAGUUAAACAAAUUAUACUGUAUUCCUAGAAAGAAAGAACUUAAAAUCAUGUUUAAUAACAUGAGGAAAUUAUCCUGGUAUAAUGUAGCAAGUGAAAAACUAGGACUCUUUCUCUGACAGGUGGGAUUAAAGUAACGUUCUUCUGUUACACUUCUCUGAAUUUGCCAAAUUCUCUAAAAUGAGUAUGCAUUAUUUAAUAAUGGGAACAAAAUGGCAGCACAGGCAGGUCUUUAUUUGAAGUGGAAAAGGGGAAAGAUGACAGAGUUUGCAUUUAGAAGAUGCUAAAGUCAGCAUCUGUUUCCUAUCGACCACGUGGCACCAGGUGAGUCACAUGCCCCCUGGGCAAGGCCUUAAUUUCUCCUUCCGGGUUGGAGGAAGGAGGGAGAAGAAGACGGAGGGCAUUCCAUGGCCUACCUCAAGGUUGAAGCUGUCAAGAGCUGGGCGGAGCUUCUCUCUGCAGGUCAGACAGUCCUUCUGGCAGCUGCUGGACACGCUGGAGAAGAGGCUGAGCAGCAGGAGGUCACAAAGCAGGAUUUUCAUGGUGCAGGAGCAGGAAGCAGGGGGCUAAAAUACUAAAAGAAGUGAGGGUGCGCUGCAAUUAGAACAGCCUUUCUGGGGGGGUCUCACGCAGGGGAUGCCACCAGAGGGGACGGUGCCAGGCCCAAGAUUCGCCUCCCAGGAGGGAGCGGGUUGUCAAGGAUACAAGAGGCUUGCUCCUGCCAGCUAGGCCUACCGUUCAUGCAGGGGUGAGUGUCUGGGAUCCUAGGCGGAGCACCCCUGUGAUUCCUGCCACCUAGCUGGCCUCGACGUGCACAAGCACUUCCAGGGGGCUACAGACCUCACUUUGCAACUUACUAACUUGUGGCUGUAAGACAACCUCUCCAAGCUUCAGUUUUCAUGUCUGUAAGAGGGGGAUAGUGCUACCUGUCUCGUCAUAGGGCCAUUGCACAGAGAUGAGAUCCGUAAGGAGGUUUGGCAAAGUGCCGUGCAUGAGUGAGACGUGUGCAGUAAGGUUCAUGGAUGACUCGUGUCCUUUGUCUCCUCCUCUCCAGCCUUCCCUGCCUCAGCCAGGAAAGCCCCACAUCCCAGAAUUUGCUCUUCCAGGAAGCUCCCAGAUUCCUUGUCUGUUUCCCCUACGAGAGGUGAGCUUGCUUCCUGAGCACAGGGCCAGUAUGUCCACCCUGCGAGGCCAUCCAAAACACAGGACCAGCUGAGAAAACUGAGACUGGAAGAAGAGAAGUAACUUGGAGCAGCAGAGGUGAGCCUCAAGCCCCUCUGAUUUCCAAGCUCAUGCUCUCACUCGGCUACUCGUUGAUCUCUGCAGCUGUCUGUCUCCAUGUAAGUGAAUUCAUUCUAAGAACCUGAACCCUAGGCUUCCCCUCUCUGAUUGUGACAUCCUUAUUGUUGCCUCCCCUUCGUAGAAGAAUUUUUCAUUGCCUACAGGCACAGGGUUUAUCUUCUACACCCCCCAUUUCUUUGACCCAUUGCAGACAGGACUCCUACACUGAGAUUUUGCUUGUUUACCAGCUAUUACUGAGGAAGGCGUCUGUAAUGUCUUUUCCUCCUCUGACUAAUGCACUUACAUCCCAAAAGGUCCUUCUUCUGCUCUAAGCUUCCACCUGGAAGGAGGCAGUGAGCAUAGAGGAGGUGGAGAGCAAAGCAAGUCCCCCGUCCUACAGAGACCAAGUGUGCCUGGUGCUGGUGAACAAUGAAUGAGAGCCCUGUGCCUUGAAGCAAGAGGCCUGGGCUCCAACUUCUACUUUGUAGUUACCUGUGGGAUCUUGAGCAAGACCUUUUCUUUCUGUGGGCCUCAGUUUCCCCUUCUCUAGAAAGAGGCAAUUGGGUUAGAAGGUUAAUGUUUUUUAUUUUAUAAAUACCCAGAUAUUUGUGCUCUCCUGGUAAGAGGAAGCAAGAAGGAAGGAGGGAACAGGGAGGAAAGAUGAGGGUUUCACGAGGCAGUGGCUUCGGGGCAGCACAGGACAGAGGUGGACACAGCUGGGGCUCAGGAGAGGACCUGGGGCAGGGCAACAGACACAUUUCCUGUCAAAGCUGCCACAAAGUUAGAAAGGUAACACUUUUUAUUUUUUUUUUAAAGCAGUCUCCACACCCUGCUUGAAGCCCAAUGCAGGGCUCGAACUCACAACCCUGAGAUCAAGAUCUGAGCAGACAUCAAGAGUUGUCCAGCUCAAUCGACUGAGCUACCCAGAUGCCCUUGGAAAGGAUAAAAACCUCAGCCCUCCCCUCCUACCCCCCAUCUGAGCACUGAAACUAAGACGAACGAAGAAAUAAUUCCCCAGGAGGCCAGCGGCAUCCACCCUGGACAAAGAGAGGGUGAGGAGAGAGUCCCGGGCUCCCAGCUGUUUGUCUUGGGGCUGGGGUUCGCAUGCAGUUGCCUACCUGAGAGCUGUCAGUAGCCUGGCUCCUUCGGAUGUGAGGCUCGGUUCCGCCGUAUCAGGCACACCAACCAGCAUAUAUAUAUCCUCCCCCCACCCGCUCAGCCCUCCCCUUCCCUGCCCACCUCGAUGACACAUACACACGCUGACCCCCUUAAUCAAGCGAAUAGCAGAACCUACAAUCCUCCCUGGCUGCUCCCCGCCCCCUUGGCUCUGUGCUCAGACCUGUGACACCCCAGCCUCCCCCCACCAUCCAUCCAUUCUCAAGCCUGCUUUACCUGGACUCUGUUCAGCCAGGAUCCCACAGCUGCCUUCCCUUUGCUUCCAGAGGCACGGCGAGGGCUGAUGGGGAGCUCUGGCAAGUCAGUCAGAAAAAAAGACUCCUGGUGACAGUGACGAGGCAGACCCCAAUCCUGGAGUCUCCUUGAACAACCCUUUUGCACAAGGAGUAAAGAGUAGGAAGCGGGCAGAAGGAGGGGGAAUCUCACACGAAGCUCCCACCGGCACAGGGAAGCCCAGAGCUGGGCUAAGCCAAGCCCCCUUUACUGCAAAUGCCCCACGGGCGGCAACUAUGAGGCCACUCCAGGGAGUGGUUCUACCUGCGAUGGGUCAAGUCAGGAGGCAUUUUGCAGGUGCCCGCAGCCUGGCACAAUGUAAAAUGCCAAGCCUUUCAACUCAGAGUGAAGUGUCUGAGAUUCUGGCUUCUGUCAGAGCAAGUUACUUCUCUUUGAGAACCUCAGGUCCUUCUUCUGUAAAAUGGGUAUGCUACUGCCCAGGGUGAUUGUGAGUAGAAAAACGAGAUUCUGUUUCUAUUUGGAACAUAGGAGACCUUUAAUAAAUGAGUGCUGCACCCCCUUCGUCCUCUUCACGUUAAAUAAGACCAACUGAAUCUAACAAUUCCCUGUCAACAGCUAGUGUCACAACAGAGUACUUUCAGAGCUGCUGCUGUACCUUAGGGCGUUGCCCCCGAGUGCCUUGGAGUCUCAGAAGCUGUUGGAGAUGCCCCCGCCACUCAGUGUGGAGCCUCCUUCCCUUCCCACGGGGAAGGCAGAUCGUGGUCAGCCCAGGCAGGCCAUGUUGAAAUCUGCAGCAUUCUUGGGGAUCCCUCCUUUCUUUGGCCCUAGGCGAAUUGCACCAUGACUUCCUCCUUGGCUGUCCUGAGAAGAUGCAAAAAUAUUCCAGAAUCCCAAGACAUGAGGCUAUGUCAUUCAAGAAGUUCAAGCACCCUCUCAUGUGGCAAAUCUGGCUCUCUCAUGGACCUAAGAACGGUGGGGAAGGAUGAAAGAAAGCAUCUGCUUUGGCUGCUAAUGGCAUGGUUUUUUUUUAGGGGGUGGGUGAUUGAAACGUUCUGGAAUUAGAUAGUGCUGAUGGUUGCACAACAUUGUGGAUAUACUGAAAACCACGGAAUUAUGUCCUUUAAAACAGUGAAUUUCAUGUUAUGUAAAUUACAUCUCAAUAAAAAAAAUAGAAAGCAAGCAAGGAAGCACCUGCGCCAAGUUAAGAUCAACAAGUUCUAAGAAGACAACUUCCCUUCCAUCUGUAUUCAUAGCAAAAGGGUCCAGGAGACCAACAUACCCUGAUUUUAGAUCUCUAGUGCCUGAAACUUACACUUUGUUGUUAUUACAGG